AGAUGCCUCGCAUGCUUAUGGAAAAAGUUUUCUAUGAGUAUGCGGCGGUUGCCAUGACCCUCGAUUCAAAUCUCGGGUCGGGGGCGUGACAAUCUAUAGCCAAAAUAAAAAGACUUGGUGAUAGUAGACCCCUCUAAUUAAGUCCCUUUCGGGUACAAAACUAAUUUGCAGUCUACAAUAUACCAUGACUCCAAUUGAAUCAGAUUUCAGAAAAUCUAGGCCACUGGAAAACCUUG
rnacentral:lncRNA from 1 species